AUGAAACCUGUGGACUACCCCUAUGGGGACGGUAAAGGAAAAGCUCCCAUUGGUAGAAAAAAACCUACAACCCCUUGGGGUGGUCAUGUUCGCCACAUGGGCCACUGA
rnacentral:rRNA from 1 species